rnacentral:rRNA from 1 species
GACGAACGCUGGCGGCGUGCUUAACACAUGCAAGUCGAGCGGUAAGGCCCUUUCGGGGGUACACGAGCGGCGAACGGGUGAGUAACACGUGGGUGACCUGCCCUCAGCUCUGGGAUAAGCCUGGGAAACCGGGUCUAAUACCGGAUAUGACUCCAUGACGCAUGUUGUGGGGUGGAAAGCCUUGUGCGGCUGAGGAUGGGCCCGCGGCCUAUCAGCUUGUUGGUGGGGUGAGGCCUACCAAGGCGACGACGGGUAGCCGGCCUGAGAGGGCGACCGGCCACACUGGGACUGAGACACGGCCCAGACUCCUACGGGAGGCAGCAGUGGGGAAUCUUGCGCAAUGGGCGAAAGCCUGACGCAGCGACGCCGCGUGAGGGAUGACGGCCUCGGUUGUAA